rnacentral:rRNA from 1 species
CUGGCUCAGGAUGAACGCUAGCGGCAGGCUUAACACAUGCAAGUCGAGGGGCAGCGUGGAGUAGCAAUACUCUGACGGCGACCGGCGAAAGGGUGAGUAACGCGUGAGCAACAUGCCCGGUAGUGGAGAAUAGUCGAUGGAAACGUCGCGUAAUACUCCGUAACAUAGGAGACCGCAUGAUCUUCUAUUAAUAGAUUUAUCGCUACCGGAUUGGCUCGCGUACCAUUAGCUAGUUGGCGGGGUAACGGCCCACCAAGGCGACGAUGGUUAGGGGUUCUGAGAGGAAGGUCCCCCACAUUGGAACUGAGACACGGUCCAGACUCCUACGGGAGGCAGCAGUGAGGAAUAUUGGACAAUGGCCGAGAGGCUGAUCCAGCCAUGCCGCGUGCGGGAAAGACGGCCCUAUGGGUUGUAAACCGCUUUUGUUGGGGAGCAAUAAGGUCCACGUGUGGAUCGAUGAGAGUACCCAGCGAAUAAGCAUCGGCUAACUCCGUGCCAGCAGCCGC